GGUAUGUGUUCUGCGAUGGACGGAAGACAACUCAGCCGUGUAAGAUGAUCUGGAAGCUUCUGUAAGUGGACCUGGGGAGAUUUCGCUAAGGUGAACCAGUACGGUCUCUCCGCUCUGGCAGACUGCCGUCUCUCAGAGAGGGAUAGGUCAACGCCAAGUUCAUGACUCUGGACUGUCCUACUCCUGACUACCUAUGAGAAAGAAAAACACAGGACCGCAGGAAAUACGUGCUGAACGCGUGCACUGACACUACAUGCAAAACGGUCACAGAAAACCGCAUUCAACACUGGAGUGUGCAAGGCUAACGUGCCCUGCAUUCUGCAUCCAUUGUCCCUUGCGGUAUCUGGUCAGGGGGCCAGCAAAGCCACUUCAAGAUGCGCGGACCAAAUGCUGGGCCAUUUAAGCACAAAUGGAAGGACGGUCGUGAGCAGAGCCACGGCAGCCUGAACUCCAGACCAGGGGAGAGGCAGCGGCGUGGUCCCAGCGUCCCAGCGUCUACCCAGACAUGGGCCUCUCAGUUACCAUGAGCUCUGCUUCCUGCUCUCCCACAUCCCAACUUAGAGGCGCAGUCUCAGGCUGGGAGAACGUCGGAGGCACGGUGAGGUUCCGGGAGCAUCACGGAGCCGGGCACGCUCGGGAUCGCCGGGCCGUCUGCGGAGAGAAGAACAACAGUUUCCUGGCCUGAGCGGUCUGAGGGGAGUGCGCCUCUCUCCCCCGGCCCGGCGCCAGCUACCCACACUCCCCACGGCUCUCUCCGGGCUGCGGGGCGGCUCACGAGUCUCUCGGGGCCCACGUGCUUCCGGAGGCCCUUCUGCGCGGCGGCGACGAGCCAGCACACCGCGUCGGGGGAGGCUGGGGCGCGCUUUCCUUUUCGUAGAGACCGCUAUGCCCAUAGACCAAGAUAUUACCUACUUCAGAUCGUGACCCGAAGUCAGCGUGAGGCUCAGCCAACGGAUUCAAAGAAAGGAAACAACAAAACAAAACAAAAAAGAGCCUCCCCAGGGUGUUAAGAGCGUUUUAUUGGUACAGAAAUAAAAAUCUCUGCUUAUUCAAA